rnacentral:rRNA from 1 species
UACGAAGGGGGCUAGCGUUGCUCGGAAUUACUGGGCGUACAGGGAGCGUAGGCGGUUGGAUAAGCCCUCCGUGAAAUCUCCAGGCUUAACCUGGAAAGUGCAGAGGGGACUGUUCAGCUAGAGGAUGGGAGAGGAGCGCGGAAUUCCCGGUGUAGCGGUGAAAUGCGUAGAGAUCGGGAGGAAGGCCGGUGGCGAAGGCGGCGCUCUGGAACAUUUCUGACGCUGAGGCUCGAAAGCGUGGGGAGCAAACAGG